rnacentral:rRNA from 1 species
UACGUAGGUGGCAAGCGUUAUCCGGAAUUAUUGGGCGUAAAGAGCGCGCAGGUGGUUAAUUAAGUCUGAUGUGAAAGCCCACGGCUUAACCGUGGAGGGUCAUUGGAAACUGGUUGACUUGAGUGCAGAUGAGGGAAGUGGAAUUCCAUGUGUAGCGGUGAAAUGCGUAGAGAUAUGGAGGAACACCAGUGGCGAAGGCGGCUUCCUGGUCUGCAACUGACACUGAGGCGCGAAAGCGUGGGGAGCAAACAGG